UGGGGAAUCUUGGACAAUGGGCGCAAGCCUGAUCCAGCCAUGCCGCGUGGAUGAUGAAGGCCCUAGGGUUGUAAAAUCCUUUCGUCAGGGACGAUAAUGACGGUACCUGAAGAAGAAGCCCCGGCUAACUUCGUGCCAGCAGCCGCGGUAAUACGAAGGGGGCUAGCGUUGUUCGGAAUUACUGGGCGUAAAGCGCAUGUAGGCGGGUCGUUAAGUCGGGGGUGAAAGCCCAGAGCUCAACUCUGGAACUGCCUUCGAUACUGGCGACCUGGACCCAAGGAGAGGCGAGUGGAAUUGCGAGUGUAGAGGUGAAAUUCGUAGAUAUUCGCAGGAACACCAGUGGCGAAGGCGACUCGCUGGACUUGUGGUGACGCUGAGAUGCGAAAGCGUGGGGAGCAAACAGGAUUAGAUACCCUAGUAGUCCCUGAGCGGGCUGGCAAGGCGCAU
rnacentral:rRNA from 1 species